rnacentral:tRNA from 6 species
GGGCCGGAAGCUUAACUGGUAUAAGCUGUCGACUCAUAAUCGACCGACAGUGGGUUCGAGUCCCACCCGGCCCACCA